rnacentral:rRNA from 1 species
CCUACGGGGCGCUGCAGUGAGGAAUAUUGGUCAAUGGACGAGAGUCUGAACCAGCCAAGUAGCGUGAAGGAUGACUGCCCUAUGGGUUGUAAACUUCUUUUAUAUGGGAAUAAAAUGUUCCACGUGUGGGAUUUUGUAUGUACCAUAUGAAUAAGGAUCGGCUAACUCCGUGCCAGCAGCCGCGGUAAUACGGAGGAUCCGAGCGUUAUCCGGAUUUAUUGGGUUUAAAGGGAGCGUAGGUGGAUUGUUAAGUCAGUUGUGAAAGUUUGCGGCUCAACCGUAAAAUUGCAGUUGAAACUGGCAGUCUUGAGUACAGUAGAGGUGGGCGGAAUGCGUGGUGUAGCGGUGAAAUGCUUAGAUAUCACGAAGAACUCCGAUUGCGAAGGCAGUUCACUGGACUGCAACUGACACUGAGGCUCGAAAGUGUGGGUAUCAAACAGGAUUAGAUACCCUUGUAGUC